rnacentral:rRNA from 1 species
UUAGGAAUCUUCCACAAUGGGCGAAAGCCUGAUGGAGCGACGCCGCUUGAGGGAUGAAGGUUUUCGGAUUGUAAACCUCUGAACGAGUGACGAAAGAUAACCAAAAUGACGGUAGCUCGGUAAUAGCACCGGCUAACUCCGUGCCAGCAGCCGCGGUAAUACGGAGGGUGCAAGCGUUACCCGGAAUCACUGGGCGUAAAGGGCGUGUAGGCGGGAUGUUAAGUCUGACUUUAAAGACUGUGGCUCAACCACAGGAGUGGGCUGGAUACUGGCAUUCUAGACAACUGGAGAGGCGAUUGGAAUUACUGGUGUAGCGGUGGAAUGCGUAGAUACCAGUAGGAACGUCAAUGGCGAAGGCAGGUCGCUGGACAGUUUGUGACGCUGAGGCGCGAAAGUGUGG